CAUCAUCACCAUCAUCCUGACUAGUCUGACAGGCCGAUGUGUGCUGGAAGACGGUUAACCAAUCUUCCAGGUGGCGUAGAACGCAUAAAGAGAGCCCUCGGAAGAUAAUCUUCCGAGGGCUUUUUU
rnacentral:sRNA from 1 species